rnacentral:piRNA from 1 species
CAGACAGUGGAAGUGCUCGUGUCCCAAGGGC